GACGAACGCUGGCGGCGUGCUUAACACAUGCAAGUCGAACGGAAAGGCCCUGCUUUUGUGGGGUGCUCGAGUGGCGAACGGGUGAGUAACACGUGAGUAACCUGCCCUUGACUUUGGGAUAACUUCAGGAAACUGGGGCUAAUACCGGAUAGGAGCUCCUGCUGCAUGGUGGGGGUUGGAAAGUUUCGGCGGUUGGGGAUGGACUCGCGGCUUAUCAGCUUGUUGGUGGGGUAGUGGCUUACCAAGGCUUUGACGGGUAGCCGGCCUGAGAGGGUGACCGGCCAAAUGGGGAUUGGGACAGGCCCCAGCCCCCUGGGGGGGGAAGGGGUGGGAAAUUUUGCACAGGGGGGGGAAGCCUGAUGCAGCAACGCCGCGGGGGGGAUGACGGCCUUGGGUUUGAAACCCGUUUUCCCUUGUGACGAAGCGUGAGUGGCGGAAAUGGGAAAAGAAGCACCGGCUAACUACG
rnacentral:rRNA from 1 species